GGAGGAGUACCCAAGUACGGCUGAAGGGGGCGCACUCGAAAUGCGCUAGGGCGUGUAAGCGUCGCGGGGGUUCGAAUCCCUCCUCCUCCG
rnacentral:tRNA from 3 species